CGGCAAAUUCGACCCCAUAGCAUGUACGGUCUAUCAAGGCACGGCUUCAUACUCGGCAGCGACAACGAUACCAUUUGCAGACACAAUUACCGUGCACAACCCGGCUACAAAUAUUAGCAAAGGGAUUUUUACGUGUAAGAGAGAUGGCACGUAUAAGUUCCAUGCAUUUGCGUACAGCCAGUCGGGAGAGCAUUUCUUCUUGGAGAUGUAUCUCAACAACACACUCCUUGCUUCACUUUAUGGACACAUGAAUAGCGAAUAUGUAGAUGCUGGUAACACUGUGAUUGUACAAUUAAAUGUGGGAGACACCGUUUAAGUUAAAACCAAGGGAACAUUUACGGUUUCGCUGUACAGCUAUUACAAAGAAAAUACAUUCACUGGAGUGGAACUUGGAUCUCAAUUUCUUUAUUCCGAAGAACACGGUGCAAUUGCAUUCUCAGCUACAUCAAGUCACAACCAGAAUGUCUUGGAAAACACGACUGUUAAAUACCAUACCAAACUGGUCGAUGACGGCGACUCGUUGAAUCUUUCUUCUGGCGUAUUCACCGCACAGUCAAGUGGAUACUACAUGUUUCAUUUUUUCAGCACUUCGAGACAACACGAAGAACUUUGGUUAGAUCUGAGACAGAACGGCGCAUAUGUUUGCUCAAUUUACGGAUUCACCGAGUUUGACUGGGCAAGCGCCGGUAACUCGGUUAUCCUCCAUUUGUCCAGUGGUGACAACGUUGGUGUCUACUCUAGACCCGGUCAUGAAAGUCAUCUGUUCGGUUCUGCUGACCAUGUAUUUACAACGUUUUCUGGAGCACAACUAGUAUCGGAUUUCGAUUUAACAAACCCAGAAAACAUGGCCACCUUCCGGUCGGUAACAUCAAGUUUGGGCGUUCCUGUCGCGGAGCAAAAGACCGAUGGCCUCACCACCGUCCUGACAUUCUUGAGUUUGAUCCUGGACUCCAACAAAAUGGAAAUGGAAAUACGUAUCCCCCAACCUAAACGACAACAAGUUUUGGACCCCAAAUGAGGAAUCCCAACUUUACUCAGACAGUGCAGGUGCCAUGGGCCUGGGCUUUGGUGCCUACUUUCAUGGAAGAUGGUGCCAAGACGCCUAGCCGUCAGCUUUGCUAGAAGAGGGCCUUCUACAAAACGUCACAGUGUUAGAAAUGUUUCCCAUGGAGGUCGCUAUCUGUGUAUGGGGUUAUGAUCUCUGUAAUGAGAUCUAAUUGUGAUAACGUUGUUGUUGUCCACAUUCUGAACAAACUUUCAGCCAAGUCAGAACCUGUGAUGACACCGGUACGCAUAUUUACCAUGAGAUGCCUACAAAAUAAUAUACUCAUUAAAGCCUCACAUGUUCCUGGUACCCACAAUAAUAUUUGCGAUGCACUUUCUCGUUUUCAGAUGACACGGUUCAGGUCGCUGGCGCCAAAAGCAGCAGACAUACCGGACAACAUUCAAAGUUUUAUUUGGAAUAUCUUCACCAAAGAGGAACAGUAUUUACAGUGGCAGGCACUUCCGUGAACACUCACGCAACAUACACCACUAGUUUAAAGGCUUUUGAUCAUUCAGAACAACAUAUAAUUUCUCCUUGACCUGGCCAGUAACAGAUAAAGUCGUCAUUUUGUUCAUUACCUUUUGCUUUGAAUCCGGUCUUACACCUAACACGAUACUUACAUAUGUUACAGGUGUAAACUACUUUCAAAAAAUAAAAAGUGGCCAAUGCCUAAUCGAUAUAUUUAUUGUUAAGGAAACACUGGAAGGCUGUCACAGGUCAAGAAAUAAAGUCCCCGACACGAGGGAUCACAUUACAAGGCCUAUCUUAAAGGCUAUUCGCCAAGCAGCCCCCAACGCGUGCUAUUACAUUUACGAGUCAACUCUGUUUCAAGCUCUGUUCAGUGAUGAAUACUUUGGGUUAUUCAGGGUUAGCGAAUUAGUGGCAACUAACCCAUGGUUACCAAACUCUGGAUUGCAACAUUAAGCAAUAAAGGUAGACAAUAAUGCCCAGAAGCUUAUUAUUACUCUGGACGUUUUUAAAACCAAUCAACGUGGCUCGCCCAUACAGGUCAAAAUCCCCUGCGAACCUUCCCCUCCUUGCCCGCUGGAGGCAAUUCAACGUUAUUUAGCUCACCGUCCAGCAGUGACGGGUCCUGGUAGACCUGUUACAUGGUCAAAAUUCAAUGCUGUACUUCAUAAGUGCCUUUACUUAACAGAGUUUUCCAGGUCACAUUUCAGAACCCAUAGUUUCCGCAUCGGCAGGGCAACACACUUGGCAACACAGGGUAUCACAACAAAGGCCAUUAUGGUUUUGGGCCGCUGGAAGUCUACUGCAUAUAUAUCUUACAUUCGUUAGGUAAUAACACACUCAUGUAUUCGUUUGUGGGAAUUUCUAUACCAUUAUCGUCUAUUCCUUUUAAGAUGUGUGAGUCAUUUGCGACUCCAUUCCAUACUGGGCGUCGUAGCUCUAUAUCACUGGAAAUGUGCCACGACUCACACACCAGGUUGCUUGGGAUUGCUACAGGGGAGCAGGCUGGGGAGACCUGCGCAAGAACAUAGAAAUGGCCGUGUUGUUUAGCAACCCCCUUUAAGUCGCCGUUAUUCAUCUGGGCGGGAAUGACCUCAAUAAAUCUUUGACAUCAUGCGUGCCGAGAUCCGCUACCUCCGGGAUGCUUGGCCUGAGGCAAUCCUCAUAUGGGUCGACAUCCUCGAACGGGGUGGCUGGGGUCGGCAUGAUGUACGUAAGACGAAGAGGGUCAACCGCUUCGGUCGGGUGGAGGUCUCGUCCACAGGCAAGUCGGAUUGCUGGCGGCCAGACAUCUCCACGGACGUACAGGGAUUCUUCCGCCCAGAUGGUGUACACCUAAAAACCAUGGGCCUACAUUUUUAUAUUGAUGGUCUCACUGAGGUUAUAAAGAAAAUUCUGGUACAAAAAAAGUAAAGCUUUGGGGAAAUUGCCUUCACCAAUUUUGUGGCGGAAAAUUAACAUUGGCCGAGAGUCAGUCGGGCUGGGUUCAGUAAUAUACUUUCAAUGAGCUGUUAAUGUAUACUUACACUAGUACUCACAUUUGGAACUGUGCACCCUCUUACAAUCAGUCGUUUAUAAUGGUGGUUUGAGGGACCCACAGUUGGGCAAAAACAUUAAGGGUUACACUAUAACCUUCAUAUUUUCAUUGGACUUGCCCCACCGGCUCCUCUGUGUCGCCAGUCAACAGAGAGUUACGGUUAGUCAGUUGGGCAGAAAAUAAUAAACUAUAAUGUACUAAUAUAUAUAAUGGUGUGGGUAAUUUUGCAGACGAGUCGGUGUUAAUGCACGACACAUGUUGUGUCUCAACUUUGCUAUCCUUACUGUUGUCCGUCACCCCAAUUGCGUGGGGCGAGUUGCAUUGCGUCCCUCUGGUGGUUUGUACAUUGGCCCGGGACUCGCCCACAGUACUUGGCGACCAGGAUUUUGCGUGUUACGUUUCGUAUUGCGUUGCGUUUUCUUAGGUUGUUUCGUUGCCCACUAAUUACAGUUGCUAGCCAAAGUGAUAUAUAUUUAUAUAGCACUAUGCAUUUUAUUAAGAGGGAACUCUUGUUGCUCUGCCGGCAUUCUCUCGGCCAUGGAGAAUUCCUGACCUCUGACUAAAGUCGAGUCCUUAAGACAAAUCAUAUAGUCAGUGACAUAACACGGCCUUUAUUAUCCCACAUCCUACACAUCAUUGACAUGUUCUUAAAUUUUGUUUGUUAAAUAUAUUACAAAACAUUGUGUGUCUUGUACCAUCUUUGGAUGGCCAAAACUAAUAAUAAACACGUGUAAUGGUU